rnacentral:rRNA from 1 species
AAUGAACGUUGGCGGCAUGGAUUAGGCAUGCAAGUCGAGCGAGAAGAGUUUUGAAGCUUGCUUUAGAACUCGGACAGCGGCGAAAGGGAGAGUAACGCGUAGUUAUGUGCCCUAGGGUCCGGAAUAGCCACGGGAAACUGUGGGUAAUGCCGGAUAAUAUCCCCGGAUCAAAGGUGUGAUUCCGCCCUAGGAGCAGACUGCGUCCUACUAGCUAGUCGGUGGGGUAAUGGCCCACCAAGGCAAUGAUGGGUAGCGGGUGUGAGAGCAUGACCCGGCUCACUGGGACUGAGACACUGCCCAGACCCCUACGGGUGGCUGCAGUCGAGAAUCUUCGGCAAUGGGCGAAAGCCUGACCGAGCGACGCCGCGUGCGGGAUGAAGGCCCUCGGGUUGUAAACCGCUGUCGUAGGGGAGGAAGGUUCCGUGAAGAGCGGGACUUGACCUAUCCUAGGAGGAAGUACGGGCUAAGUUCGUGCCAGCAGCCGCGGUAA